CCUACGGGGGGCAGCAGUGAGGAAUAUUGGUCAAUGGCCGGAAGGCUGAACCAGCCAUGCCGCGUGAAGGUCAGUGCCCUAUGGGCGUUAAACUUCUUUUGUUCGGGAGCAAUAAUGGUCACGUGUGGCCAGACGAGAGUACCGUACGAAUAAGCAUCGGCUAACUCCGUGCCAGCAGCCGCGGUAAUACGGGGGAUGCAAGCGUUAUCCGGAUUUAUUGGGUUUAAAGGGUGCGUAGGCUGUGAGGUAAGUCAGCGGUGAAAUGCCCCCGCUCAACGGGGUGAAGUGCCAUUGAUACUGCCUUGCUGGAAUGCAGAUGCGGUGGGAGUAAUGUGGAGUGU
rnacentral:rRNA from 1 species